GGCCACAUGGGGAGCUAGUGUAUUGGUGCUGCCCUGUCCAGCACAUUCUUCUCUCUCUGCCCCAAGGACCUGUCCCAGGGUGUGCACUAUGCAUAAGUCAUCCAUGCUUGCAGGGCCAGCUGAACAGCCACAGGCUCCAGGCCUGCAGAACGGAGAGCACUGCAAAACAAAGGGCACAGCCUUGGGCAGCUCCUAGAGGAAGAGCAAGGACUACAAGCACUCUCUGACCAUGGAGGACUUGACCCCUGCCCCACCCAGCUACAGAAUAACUCCAGUUUGGCCUCCGGUCACAAUUGAGACUUCAGUGAUCCAGUGAUGCUGUGAUUCUGCAGGACAAGAAACAUCCUGGGAGAACAAACAUCUGCUC
rnacentral:lncRNA from 1 species